rnacentral:rRNA from 1 species
UACGUAGGGUGCAAGCGUUGCCCCGGAUUUAUUGGGCGUAAAGGGCGCGUAGGCGGCUCUGCACGUUCGUUGUGAAAUCGCCCCGGCUCAACUGGGGCGGGGGUCAGCGGAUACGGCAGAGCUUGAGCAAGCUAGGGGGCAAUGGAAUUCCCCGGUGUAGUGGUGGAAUGCGUAGAUAUCGGGGAGGAACACCAGUGGCGAAGGCGGAUCUCUGGGCCUUGCCUGACGCUGAGGCGCGAAAGCUAGGGGAGCGAACAGG